ACGCCGCGUGAGUGAUGAAGGUUUUCGGAUCGUAAAGCUCUGUUGUUAGGGAAGAACAAGUACCGUUCGAAUAGGGCGGUACCUUGACGGUACCUAACCAGAAAGCCACGGCUAACUACGUGCCAGCAGCCGCGGUAAUACGUAGGUGGCAAGCGUUGUCCGGAAUUAUUGGGCGUAAAGGGCUCGCAGGCGGUUUCUUAAGUCUGAUGUGAAAGCCCCCGGCUCAACCGGGGAGGGUCAUUGGAAACUGGGGAACUUGAGUGCAGAAGAGGAGAGUGGAAUUCCACGUGUAGCGGUGAAAUGCGUAGAGAUGUGGAGGAACACCAGUGGCGAAGGCGACUCUCUGGUCUGUAACUGACGCUGAGGAGCGAAAGCGUGGGGAGCGAACAGGAUUAGAUACCCUGGUAGUCCACGCCGUAAACGAUGAGUGCUAAGUGUUAGGGGGUUUCCGCCCCUUAUUGCUGCAGCUAACGCGUUAAGCACUCCG
rnacentral:rRNA from 1 species